GAUGUCUGAUUAGCUAGUUGGUGAGGUAAAGGCUUACCAAGGCGACGAUCAGUAGCUGGUCUGAGAGGACGACCAGCCACACUGGGACUGAGACACGGCCCAGACUCCUACGGGAGGCAGCAGUGGGGAAUUUUGGACAAUGGGGGAAACCCUGAUCCAGCCAUGCCGCGUGAGUGAAGAAGGCCUUCGGGUUGUAAAGCUCUUUCAGCCGGAACGAAACGGUCACGGCUAAUACCUGUGACUACUGACGGUACCGGAAGAAGAAGCACCGGCUAACUACGUGCCAGCAGCCGCGGUAAUACGUAUGGUGCAAGCGUUAAUCGGAAUUACUGGGCGUAAAGCGUGCCCAAGCGGUUUUGUAAGUCAGAUGUGAAAUCCCCGGGCUUAACCUGGGAACU
rnacentral:rRNA from 1 species